GCCAGGCAUGGUUGUGCAUGCCUGUAAUCUCAGCUGCUUGGGAGGCUGAGGCAGGAGAAUCACAAGUUUCAGGCCAGUCUCAGCAACUUACUGAGGGCCUAAAUAACUUAGGGAGACCCUGUCUGUA
rnacentral:sRNA from 1 species